UAUUCAAUAUUACAGCAUUAAAGCAACUUUAUUAUUUUACAUUAUUAUAUUUUCUUUCGUAAGAUAAGAAGCACGCCGUCUUCCUUGCAAACAGAACUUGGAAUGGCGUGGAAAUCCUCUAAAAUUUUCAAGCUUUAUGGUUACGACUUGCUUUUGGGUUCAGUGGCUGCUUUUUACGUGUUAAUGGUGCCCUACACUAAGGUUGAGGAAAGCUUUAACGUACAGGCAAUGCACGAUAUUCUUUAUCAUAGGCAUCGCUUGGAUAAUUAUGAUCAUUUGGAGUUCCCUGGAGUUGUUCCUCGCACGUUUAUUGGUGCUAUACUUGUAUCUAUUGUGGCAUCUCCAAUCAUAUUCAUUAUGAGUUUACUACAUUUGCCAAAGAUUUAUGGUCUGGUUGCAGCACGUUUGGCAUUGGGUUGCAUCCUGCUAUCUACCCUGCGGUUUUUCCGUAUUCAGGUUGGAAAAAAGUUUGGACAUCAAGUAGAAGCUUUUUUUGUAAUACUAACUGCGCUUCAGUUUCACUUGCUGUUUUAUUGCACACGUCCUCUUCCGAAUAUACUAGCUCUUGCUGUAGUCAAUCUGGCAUAUGGGCUUUGGCUCAAAGGGCAUUUUUAUACGAUGUUAAAUUGUCUGAUUUUCACCACAAUUGUCUUUAGAUGCGAUAUGGUGUUACUUCUUGGUCCUCUUGGCAUGGAGCUUUUGUUGACUAAAUCAAUUUCAUUCUGGAAAGCAUUGAAAUGCUGUAUUGGAGCUGCUCUACUGUCUAUCGGCCUUACCACAAUGGUUGAUUCAAUUUUGUGGAAGAAGUUAGUGUGGCCUGAGUUUGAAGUUUUGUGGUUCAAUUCUGUUUUAAAUCGGAGUUCUGAGUGGGGUACAAAUUCUUUUCACUGGUACUUCACUUCAGCCCUUCCACGCUCUUUGCUUGUGGCUUAUCCUCUUUGUAUACUUGGGGUCUUACUUGACAGGAGAGUUCUACCUUAUAUUUUCCCUGUUUUCUCUUUUGUUUUACUUUACUCUAAGCUUCCUCACAAGGAGCUUCGAUUUAUUAUUAGUUCUGUACCAAUUUUCAACUUAUCAGCAGCAGUUGCAGCUAACAGGAUCUACAUCAAUAGGAAGAAAUCCUUGUGGAAUUUUCUCAGUAUCAUUUUGCUAGGGCUUCUUUUAAUCAGUUUAGGGUGCACUGCCUUAUUUUUCAUGGCAUCCUAUGAGAAUUAUCCCAGUGGCUAUGCUUUAAAGUAUUUGCAUCAGAUUGGUCAUCUUGCUGACAGUUCUGAAGAACAUUGGGUUCACAUUGAUACUUAUUCAGCCAUGAAUGGAAUAUCACGCUUUUGUGAAAAUGAUGUCUCAUGGAGAUAUUCCAAAGAAGAAGGCAUCCCUUUGGAAGCAUUUCAUACGAAAAAUUUCACCUAUCUAUUGAAUGAGCAUUCUUCUGUCAAUGGAUACAAGUGUUUAUUUACCGUGGAUGGUUUCUCAAGGGUUCAUCCCCAAAUUAGUUUUCCACCUUUGUUACUGGUAGAUUAAAGAGCCCAAAGUAUAUGUCUAUGGAAACAUGGAAAACAAGGAUGUCAUGCAUAAAAAGUGGCCAGGAUGCUCGUGAUUUUUUUAUCGAUUCCAUAUUUGUAACAGAGUAUGAUAACCUCUAAGUUUAAGUUUGCUGAUACCUUGAACCAGUUGCUUACAUACCAUAUGACGCUCAGCAGAUGUUAUCUCAUUUUUUAAUGUGAUUGAUAAUUUUAUAGUCACAUUUGGUUUGGUACAGAGGAUAAAAAGUUGCCUGUGAUAUCAUAUUGGAAGCAAAACCAAAAUUAUCGUUGAGGUUCUGUUUUUCCUUAAGUCCUGCUUAUUAUAUUUGUAUGGUGGGUAAGAACUUUGUAGUUAUAUUCUGGCUCUUUUCUCAUGCAUUAACACAAUGAACUCAAACCUGUGAUUUUGUUUGGAAAAGAAAAAUUAAUUUCUGGCAGACA